rnacentral:rRNA from 1 species
GAGUUUGAUCAUGGCUCAGAUUGAACGCUGGCGGCAUGCCUUACACAUGCAAGUCGAACGGCAGCACGGGUGCUUGCACCUGGUGGCGAGUGGCGAACGGGUGAGUAAUACAUCGGAACAUGUCCUGUAGUGGGGGAUAGCCCGGCGAAAGCCGGAUUAAUACCGCAUACGAUCUGAGGAUGAAAGCGGGGGACCUUCGGGCCUCGCGCUAUAGGGUUGGCCGAUGGCUGAUUAGCUAGUUGGUGGGGUAAAGGCCUACCAAGGCGACGAUCAGUAGCUGGUCUGAGAGGACGACCAGCCACACUGGGACUGAGACACGGCCCAGACUCCUACGGGAGGCAGCAGUGGGGAAUUUUGGACAAUGGGCGAAAGCCUGAUCCAGCAAUGCCGCGUGUGUGAAGAAGGCCUUCGGGUUGUAAAGCACUUUUGUCCGGAAAGAAAUCCUUGGUUCUAAUAUAGCCGGGGGAUGACGGUACCGGAAGAAUAAGCACCGGCUAACUACGUGCCAGCAGCCGCGGUAAUACGUAGGGUGCAAGCGUUAAUCGGAAUUACUGGGCGUAAAGCGUGCGCAGGCGGUUUGCUAAGACCGAUGUGAAAUCCCCGGGCUCAACCUGGGAACUGCAUUGGUGACUGGCAGCUAGAGUAUGGCAGA